AGAAAAGCAGGGGUCUGGUGUUUCUGUGCCCUGGCCUCUCGUAAACUUUAGGGAAACUAAUUUCAAUAUUAUUGGGUGAACCAUUGCUCAUAAUCAAUGGCAUAUGGUUCAGUAAAUAAUGAUACACAU